CAGACUCUGCGUGUCUCUCCCAGCCCUGCGGCUCCCACUGUCCCCGGGGCGGGGCCUGGGCCUGGUUGCCCGGAGGUGUGGCCACGCUCUCACCCCUCCAGGGGCCGGAAGCCAACUGCUCCUGCUCUGGCAGAGGCCUCCUCGCCGCCUGGGCUGUCCUGCGCUUCAGAGCUUCAGACCAGAGGAACAAAGCCUCCCGCAUCCUGUGCCUGGGGGCCUCUCCAGCUUCAGGCACAGGGCGAGGAGCUCGAGAGAGCCUCGGGGAAGAACUCGGCGGAGCCCCGAAGCUGCCUAUGUCAUCGAGCCCUGGACUAGGGCUGGGGUCAGGAGGGUAGUCCAGGCCGGGGUGGGGCCAGUGGGUGGCCUAGGUGGGCUUUGGUCACCCGGAACUGGCCCCCAGUCUUUGACUCACGGGCUGCCCGUGGGAGGUUUUAAUGUCACCUGACAGAUGGUACUUGGGCCUCAGGGAAGCAGGGUCUCCCUGACUGAGAGCAGGUGGUCGUCAUCGAGGAGAAAACUGAGCACAGUUUGGAGGACACCAUGGGGUGACUUCAGUGACACCACAAGAUUUCAUUAACAAAUCCACCCAGAUCCCCAAAAAGCCCAGCCUGUCCCACGGAGGACCAAGUUCUAGGGUGCUGCUCCAGGUGUGGGACAGGUGCCCCUGCCCAAGGACACGGGGACAGUGGGACUGUAGCCCUGGGGAGCACUCGGCCACCUCACCGCCCCUCCUCAGAGUCCACAGCACCACAGUCCGCAGCACUGGGCUCCGUCCCAGGAGACCACACCUCUCCAGGACAGGCCAGCUCUGAGCUAGUAGCAGAGGGGCCUUGGAGGAGUCUCAGAGUGGGGGACAGUGCCGCAGCAGUGCCCGCCAUCCUUCCUGCUGGGUAGCACUGGCUUCUCCCGUUUGUUCCCUGAGCUCAGAGAGUAAGAACAGUCCCUAGGUUUACCAGGUACUUGCCCACCGCUGUCCCCUCUGGCAUCUUGUGGAUCUCUUGUCAGUGUGUCCCCAGCAACCAGGUUGCCCCAUGCUGUCAUCUUCUGCCAAUGGCACUUUACCUGGGCAGAGGCCCCAGCUCACCCCUCACUUGACCAGGCCUGCAGAGUGGGCCGCAGUGUUACUGGGGAUUUAGGGCCACUAGGGCCCCUGUACAAAGCUGGAGCUUGAGCCCCGGUGUCUCAGGGGAAGAGGACCGGGCUGGGCCUGCCAAAGGAGAGCUGCUCCUUGGGCUCCUCAGGCCCACAGACGCGGCCCGUGUCGCAGGCCCCCUGUGCUCUCAGCCUCCCCUCUGCUGGAGGCUGGCAGAGCAGCCAUGGCCCACAGGGACGCACACCUGCAGUGACCCUGCGUGGGGGCCUGCUUGAGAUAAGCACACGUCCCACAGCACCAAGGAUCUAGCCACGGUGCUUUCCCCAAGUUGUGAGGCUCUUACCGAGUUUUCUAACUUAAUAAAAAGAGUUGAACAAAUUCUUGGCCUGCCUUGGUUGCUGGGAUGUCUU
rnacentral:lncRNA from 1 species